UACGUAGGGUGCAAGCGUUAAUCGGAAUUACUGGGCGUAAAGCGUGCGCAGGCGGUUAUGUAAGACAGGUGUGAAAUCCCCGGGCUUAACCUGGGAACUGCAUUUGUGACUGCAUAGCUAGAGUACGGUAGAGGGGGAUGGAAUUCCGCGUGUAGCAGUGAAAUGCGUAGAUAUGCGGAGGAACACCGAUGGCGAAGGCAAUCCCCUGGACCUGUACUGACGCUCAUGCACGAAAGCGUGGG
rnacentral:rRNA from 1 species